rnacentral:rRNA from 1 species
CAGGUGCAUGCCUCUAGCAUGAAGUCAGGCAAGUGAAC